CCUACGGGGUGCAGCAGUGGGGAAUAUUGGACAAUGGGCGAAAGCCUGAUCCAGCCAUGCCGCGUGUGUGAAGAAGGCCUUCGGGUUGUAAAGGACUUUCAGUGGGGAAGAAAGCCUUGGGGCUAAUACCCUCGAGGAAGGACAUCACCCACAGAAGAAGCACCGGCUAACUCCGUGCCAGCAGCCGCGGUAAUACGGAGGGUGCGAGCGUUAAUCGGAAUUACUGGGCGUAAAGCGCGCGUAGGCGGUCUGAUAAGCCGGUUGUGAAAGCCCCGGGCUCAACCUGGGAACGGCAUCCGGAACUGUCAGGCUAGAGUGCAGGAGAGGAAGGUAGAAUUCCCGGUGUAGCGGUGAAAUGCGUAGAGAUCGGGAGGAAUACCAGUGGCGAAGGCGGCCUUCUGGACUGACACUGACGCUGAGGUGCGAAAGCGUGGGUAGCAAACAGGAUUAGAUACCCUUGUAGUC
rnacentral:rRNA from 1 species